rnacentral:lncRNA from 1 species
CACUCUCACAGCAUCUGCCUAUGAAGCAGCGCCAGGGCCUGUUGGAACGGAAGUAAAGCCUGUUAACGAAGAUCAAGAGCGUAGUUCAUCCGAUGCACUGCUCAUGUCUGACCACUUUGUGUUUCCGCCGAGUGAACACGAGAACCUGCCAAUACAAACCAGUUUUGAUGAGAUACAUGCUGAGAAGGAUGUGCAGAAACCUAGUACCAGUGUGGAGGAUUAUAGUAUCAAGAAUGAUGUUGGGUCUGAGAGAGUUCAGUUUGACGAUGAAGGGAAACACCUCUCAGAUGAUGAUGUGGAGAUGAAAGAUGACACCCCUGGGUACGGUUCCUCUCACGCUGAAGAUGAUGCACAUGGUUUUGUUGCCCAUGGUGAUGGCAUUGAGUCUGGUGAAGAUUUUGAUGAAAAAUCAGGCCACCCUUUAGAGCUCUCAGACAGCAAGAGCUGUGAUACUGGUGCCUCUUGCAAAUGUUGGUUGAAGAAGCAUAUGACAUGCCUGUAUAACCAAACAAAGGAAACAAAUGCUAUCUGGUCUGUGGUGGUUGCAGCUGCACUAGUUGGUAUUGUGAUCUUGGGACGUUGGCACAAAGAUAAAUUCCACCUUAACCAGCUUAAGUGGUGCUCUGGCUCAGCAGUGAGGUAUGUUAACCUCUUGUUCCUACAAUUGUACACAUUAUUUCAUAAGUCUCGAUUAUUUAGUCAACUUAUUCGCCUUUUUAUAGUGUUUUACACUUUAUUAGCUCAAUAUGUGCACACAAGUGCAUGCGGCUCCUCUUGUGGACAUCUGCAGUUUAGCUUAGGAUAUAUGCAUAGUGCAUAGUAUAUUUCUCUUGGUAAUAGUCAAGUUCAUUUUGCAGUUCUGUCUGAUAUUUUUACCUGUCUCAUCCUCUUAGUUUCUAGUAUAGUAGUAACCAGUAAGGUGGCAGUAUAAUCUUAAACUGAUGGUUGGAUGUUUUGUCUGCAUUUCAAUGGUUGUUAGUUGUGCUCAUUUUAUGGCUGUGAUUUUGGAAUUCAAUCUGAUUGGUUAGCAGUUAUACCAGAUUGCAUCCACUGCCUAAAGAAGAUUUGGAUCAUAUUCAUUCAUCCAAUGGAUAUGAACUAGUAACUAAGGAAUAGUACUCAUCUAGUUCAAGAUUCUUUUCUGAAUUAAAAUUGAACUAUCCCUUGUAUUAAUCUGAUGUUUUAGACACAGCUAAGCGAAGACACAGGAUCACAUGCUCAUAUCAAAUAUGUCUAUUACCUAACUAUUUUUUUAAUCUCCGAGAUCACCUAUCUUCAUAACCUAUGAGCAAGGCAAUUUGGCCUUGCAAAAGUUUGUAGUAUGUAUGAUAUAUUUUUUCUUAAACGCGCAGGAGAGCUGCGCAUCAUUAAAUUAAGAGAAGAAAACAGUCCAAAAUGGACCAAAGUACAAUGCCAAAAUAGGCAAAACACAAAACACAAAACCACCAACUUCUGCUGCGCACAAAACUGCAGCCUCCAUAAAUGCGCCUGGAAACAGCAGCACGCAAUAGGAGACCGAACAGCAAAAAGUGCAAGCAGACCACACACACCUGCUCUUCAUUAAUCACCCAAAAGAACCCUUGACCUAAAAAUUCCAGCACCAGGAACCAAAGCCUCAAGAUGCCUAGCACCGGCAAGCCUCCAGAAUUCAACUUCAUCAAAAAAAAUUGCCUUUAUGCCAAUAAUUGAAGGACUGACACCAUCAAAAACCACCUUAUUACGAUGAAGCCAUAAACACCAAGCCCCCAAGAUGAUGAUACUGUUAAAGCCUCUUCUUUUGGAUUUGUGCACUUGCUUAAUUACUUUCGCCCACCAGUCAGCAAAAGUGGACUCAUUAGAGUCAGGAGAAAGAUUAGCCAUCCCCAACGAAGAAAGAAUGUAAUACCAAAACUGCCGCGAAAAAACGCAAGUGCAAAGGAGGUGUUGGAUAUUUUCCGGCUCUUGAUCACACAACGGACAGACCUCAGGAUGGUCUAACCCUCUUUUCUGCAGUCUAUCAGCUGUCCAACAUUUAUUCCUUAUUGCCAACCAAAUAAAAAAUUUGCAUUUGGGUGGAGCCCAAGACUUCCACAGCCUCUUCCACGGUUCAAAAGUAAUCGAACCCAAGAAAAAAGCCUUAUAACAUGAUUUAGAAGAGAACUGUCCAGAGGAAGAAUGAAUCCACACAUGUCUAUCAGCCUCCUGAGUCAGCACCACUCCCCUCAAUGUGUCCCAAAGGUUCAGAUAUUGCUGCAGCCCAGACAAAUUAAGAGGGGUCACAAUGUCGCUGACCCACUGCCAGUUCUCAAGAGCAUGGGCCACAGUAUGUAUGAUAUAUGAGUUAGGGCUAUAUCUUAAAGAUAUAGUUGGGUCCUUCUCUAAAUCAUGUAACAUGAACAAAUGGAUCUCUUGCACCUACAUCAGUUUUUUUUUGAAUUUUGUGGGUCAAGUUCCACAUUUGAUUGUAUAUAUUUUUGUUGAUAAAUGAUAGUGCAAAGGAUACAUUACACCAAUCAAAUUUCCUAAUUAGACAGCUUCCUUCAAGUAUUUUCAGUCUGUAUUAAACCUGGAUUUGUUACAUAGUAUGCCAUCUAGUUCAUUUAGCAAGUUUCGGAUCAAUCAAAUGACCUGAAACAAGUGGAACUUGCAUCCCUACCCACUGGCAGGCAUGACCCUUUGUGUUGACUAUUGACGUACCUGGAACUUACUGAGAGAGUGAGGGUUACCUACCAAGGGCCUUCUAGACUCUAGUGAAGUUCAGGGAAAUCUAUAGAGUGGUUGCACCGGCUACCUUUUUUUUCACGAACACCAUAGGAGAGCUGUGUGCCAUUUUGUUAAGGAAAAAAGGUUCAAACUGCAUACAGAAAAGGGAGAGGCUAAAAUAAGCGCCUCCCAGACACACUGAUACCCAGGAGACUAAAAAAGACAUGUCGAGCUAAGGGACAUAACACGACCAGUAACCAGCCCACCUCCAACCACCCUCAAGGCUCAUGGAGGGCCGAGGCGCCAGCCAAACACCACAUGCUGCUUUCAUUAGCCACUAUGAGAGUCUGAAUGUUUGGUCUAGCACCUUCAAAGACAAUGGCCUUAUGUUUCCAUCAACAUGAAGAGCACAAGAAAUUGGCCAUAUUUACUCUUAUAAUACUCGAGGAAAUUCUCCAUUGCUACUGGAAUAUAUGUGUUCAUUGGUUGCCAUUUCUGUUAAAAUUUGUUAACUUUCUGUUAAGUUGGGUCUGUCCCCCACUUUGAGGCACCGUGCAGUGCAGCGCAUGUUCCAGCCCUGGCAGCUGCUGCUCUGCAUUGUCUGCUGAUCCCGCCGCUGCAGCUGAGCUGGGCCUCCGCAUCAUGCACAUCAAUACCAAUUGCACCGAGAAAUUCACUGACACGGUCAUGGGCCUCGUUCACCAGCAGCCUGUGCGAGAGUGGUAGGGUGUUUGACGCACACCCGCACAGGAGGGCAGAGGUAGGUGAACACAAGCGAGAGGUGAGAGAAGAAUACACACGGGUGGGCAGGCCUGGGCAACACAUGCGCAUGGCUCCCUGCAUCCUCUGCAUGCUUUCGCCAGGUGCCAUUGCGCACAUCAUGCCACUACCGGUUCGCCUCCAUGGACAGGUCUAGUCAUGUUCAGGUGGCAUUUUCCCGGGCGCGUGCACGUGUCUCCCCUGCACCCUCCAUGGGCGCUUGCCUAUGUGCGGUCGCACGGUCUGGUGCUGCCAAAGUGCCAAUUCACCUCGGCCAACGGGUGGUCUUCUAGUCUGCUCCACCAGCUGGCCAAAGGUACUCCUAGCUGCAAUGGACCAGCUCAGGGACGUGCCUGGUGGAGACUGAGGCCAUGGUGGCCUGUAACGGCUGGUCUAUAGCAUCCAUGGUGUUAUCCAACCAGGUUCACUUGAGCACCCAUGCCAGCUAGAGUAGCAGCUGUAGGAAACUGUAGUGCUUGAUUGUAUUGCAUAGGAGAUGUGGUACAAUAUAUAGACUCACAGGACCCUAACCCUAAUGGGCCGGCAGUCCAACAGUGGUGCCGGCCCACACACACAGUCUAACAUCCCCCGCAGUCGCAACGAGAACACUACACACGAUGACACUGGAGUAGAAGCCGAAGGUAGGAGCCGACAGGUUGAAAUCCCCCCGCAGUCGCGACGUCGUGAGGGUCGAAUGUUGCGGCUGGAGCAGAGAUCGGUGUAGACUCCGUGAAGGUGAUGGCCCCUGGAUGCCGAGUUAACCGAGAGACACGCAACAGUAGCCUGUUCUUCGGGAGGGGUUGACGUUCGAGGGUCAACGAUCGGCGAGGGCGACACAACAAAACAACACCAGUAAGCCGACCUUCUUGCUUCUUCGAUCGUCUGUACGUCGAGGAGCCCCGUCAGGGAGGCCGACGGCAACGCACACGUCUGUGUCGGUCAUGGUGGCCGCGCCCGCGGCAGAAUAGAAGGGGUAACGGCGGAUCCGGCCGAGACGGCCACAGCAGCGACGGAUCCAGCCGGGAAGACGCGAUCCGGUCAAAGGGACGGUGGAUCGAGCCGGGAAGGUCGCAGCAACGGUGAAUCCGGCCAGGAAGUAUGCGGCAGCGAUAGAUCCAACGAAGGCGAUGAAGGGGAAAGGGGUGACGGGGCGGGUCCAGCCGGGCAGGGGCCCACGCGGAUUCAACCAGACAGGGGGCGAUGACGCCGACGACGGGAGAAACUUGAAGGAUGAGGCGCUGCUAGGCAUCAACACGGGUAGUUAGGAGGUGGCCAGUGCGAUGAUGAGGGGCUGCACGGGAGGGUAGCCUGGCCGCGCAGGAGAGAGAGAUGUCGCACAGUGGAGGAAAGGCCAGUGACUGUUGGGGAAGGGAGCACCCGCGAGGCCGUGGCGGCUGCUGCUCCCCUAUGUCCUGAGGCGGCGGCUACCCACAAGGCCGCGACGACUGCUGUACGUGCGCCUGCAUGGCCGUAGCGGUAGGUUGCAGGGGUGGGGGCAGCCACGCCGCCGAUGAGGAAGGGGAAGAGGCGAAGUCAGCCGCCGGGAGAGCCGAGCAGCGAGAGGCACAGGCCACAGGGCAGGGGGCAAGUUGGGGCGUCGCCAGGCCUAGAUGUGACUGGCCAGAGGAGAGGGGCGACGGUCGGGAAGGGAAGGGCGCCGCCAGGGGCAGCCAGCGCAGCCACGCAGGGUCCGCGCCAGUGGAACAGGGGAGGUGGACGUCGCGCCGUGGAGGAUGGAGGCGGCGGCUUACUCAACGCCGGCAAGGACAAGGGCCACCGCAGUGUGGCCGAGGAAGUGGCGGUCGUGGUCGUGCGAUGGCGGUGGCUCGACGUGCGUCCGCGUGGAGGGAGCGCACGGAUGGCUGGGCUGACGAUGCCGAUCAGCGGUGCGUGUGCUCCAUGGGCGUGGAUCCGACGGGGCGUGGAUCAGCGGUGCGUGUGCCCCCGGAGACUGCGGAAGAUGCACCAGGCGCUCCUGCAUCUGCCGCGGCCGGCGAAGACCUUCCCCCAAAGGUGGCCGCAGGCGCGCCAGAUGCCCCCGCAGCUGCUGUGCCGAGCGCUGAAGAUCCAGCGGAGGUGGGGGCGGAGGCAGCGGCGGAGGCUCCCGCAGCGGCCGGGCCUUCGCAGGUGGCAUAGGUGGUGUUUAGGGUUGAGGAAUUUUUGGAUGUUGUACUGAAUUUUGGUUGCUGCGCAGGUUCGAGAUUUUGGGCCUGCGCACGCAACCGCUACCACUGAGUUUUUGGCGGCUUCGACCGCGGAAGAUGGAAAUGAAUGUGGUGGGUCUGUUUCUGAGUUUUUUGAUUUUACUGACUCUGGGAGCUCGGUUGAGUGGACUGAGGAGUCGUCGGAGGAGGACUUGGAUUAUUUUGCGGCCUUGGACGUGGCUGCGGCGGAGGCUGCACCACAUGCUGCGGACGCGCCAGGCGUGCCCGGUCCUAGCACCGGGCACCGACGACGAAGGGCGGUUGCAAAGCGUAGGAUUAGUGCGGAGGAAGGGGCUCGGCUUCGCGUUAGUAGGGCUGGUCGGCAGGAGCUGCUGUCUUUGCCGGCCGCCUCGGGUGUAGGGGAAGGGGAGCUGCGAAGCCUUUUUGCGGGUGAGGAGCUUAGGAUAAUGUUAUUUAAUUAUAGAGAGAUGGGGAUUAUUCCUAAGGUUGAGCCGAUGUAGGGCGUGGUGCCCUCGCUUGUGUAUGUGUAAAGGCUUGUAAAAUGGAGUUGUGUGCCCUCGCGUGCCUGUGCCUGCGAGGGCGCUGUGUACUUUGUCUGGUGUGAUUGAUUGUGCUGUGCCAGUAUGAUUAUAAUUGGUCUUGCUGUCGUUUCUGCUUUUUGUUAUACUGUGCUGGCUGCGCCCUUAGGCGGCUCCUGCGAUAGACUUCGGAUUUUUGCGCGUUUGUGCUUGGUCCGGCCGCACCUUUUAGGCGACUUCUGCGCGGAUAGUCUUCGCGAUAGACUUCGGAUUUUUGCGCACUUGUUGUGCCAAGUCCGGCUGCACCCUUAGGCGACUUCUGCGCGGAUAGUCUUCGCGAUAGACUGCGGAUUUUUGCGCACUUGUUGUGCUAAGUCCGGCUGCACCCUUAGGCGACUUCUGCGCGGAUAGUCUUCGCGAUAGACUGCGGAUUUUUGCGCACUUGUUGUGCUAAGUCCGGCUGCACCCUUAGGCGACUUCUGCGCGGAUAGUCUUCGCGAUAGACUUCGGAUUUUUGCGCACUUGUUGUGCCAAGUCCGGCUGCACCCUUAGGCGACUUCUGCGCGGAUAGUCUUCGUGAUAGACUGCGGAUUUUUGCGCACUUGUUGUGCUAAGUCCGGCUGCACCCUUAGGCGACUUCUGCGCGGAUAGUCUUCGCGAUAGACUGCGGAUUUUUGCGCACUUGUUGUGCUAAGUCCGGCUGCACCCUUAGGCGACUUCUGCGCGGAUUGGUCGCACGCGGGGGUGGCUAGCGCUUAACCUCGCGGUGACUUCGAAUUGGUCGAAUGCCGAAGACCGUUGUCGCGGUCUUUUUCGACACAUGCUUUUGCGGGGGAUUUUUCUCACAUAUAUUACAUGGCUCCGCCUCGUUAAAAACCUCACCCCCCGGGAGGAAAAGAGUGCGGGCCGGCACAAGAUUGUUUGUGGUGAAUUACAAGGGCGAACUCAGCCCUAAGUUUUAAACAAAAAAUUUACGAAGGUUGUCGAUAUUCCAGGAGUGCUCCAGGUCCUCGCCAUCUGGCGUUGUGAGCCUGUAAGCGCUGGGGGAAGCUUUUGUUUUGACUAUGAAGGGGCCCUCCCACUUGGGCUCCAACUUGCCCUUGGACUCCGUCCGAGCUGUUCGGAUGAGUACGAGGUCCCCCGCGCUGAACUCCCUUGGAAUGACUGCGCGGUCGCGCCAUGCUUUGGUCUGGGCUUGGUAUUUGUUUAAGGCCUGCAGGGCGAAGACCCGGUCUCCGUCAAUGAGGUCUUUGGAGGUUGGCUCAUCCACGUCAGGGGCGGCUGACGGAGCUGUGCGCGGAGACCCAUGCUUUAUUUCUUGCGGGGUCAUUGCUUCCGAUCCGUAUAGAAGGCGGAAGGGAGUGAACCCGGUCGCCCUGCACUCGGUUGUGUUUAGCGCCCAGACUGCUUCCGGUAACAAGUCGGUCCAUCUGCCUUUUUUUUCAUCGAGGAGCAUUUUCUUGACAGCUUUGAAGAUUUUCCCAUUGGCACGCUCCACGACCCCGUUGGACUGCGGAUGAUAGACUGAUGCGAAGGCAAGCUUGGUGCCGAUGGAAAAACAAAAAUCCUUGAAAUCUUGACUGUCAAACUGCUUGCCGUUGUCAACUGUUAGCUCGGACGGUACUCCGAAGCGGCAAACAAUGUUCUGCCAAAAGAAUUUUUGGGCAGUCUUUGAUGUGAUUGUGGACACGGCCCUCGCUUCAAUCCAUUUGGUGAAGUAUUCGACGGCUACGAAGGCGAACUUAAGGUUCCCCUGAGCGGUGGGCAGGGGCCCGACAAUGUCCAGGCCCCAGCGCUGAAGAGGCCAUGUAUGGGCAAUCAGCUUUGUGUAUUGCGAGGGGUUGCCUGACCGAGGAGAGAACUUCUGGCAGGCUUCGCAGGACCUUGUGACUCGAUUUGCGGCGCAGAUCAUUGCAGGCCAGUAAAACCCUUGUCGGAUCACCUUUGCAGCCAGGGCCCUUGGCCCCGCGUGUGAGCCGCACGUGCCACUGUGGACUUCGCGCAGGAUUUGCAUGCCUUCGGUUUCGGUGACGCAUUUAAGCAUUGGCUGACUGACCCCUUUCUUGUAUAAUUGGCCCUCGAUCAGCGCGAAGUCCCGGCUUCGAUGCCUGAGGCGCUUUGCCUCGCUGGCGUCGGUUGGGUGAUAGUAUCCAUGUAGGAACAGGGUUAUUGGGGCCCGCCAGUCUUCGGUCAUGAUUAGGUUGACUAUACGGUGGCCCUCGCUAUCAUUAGUUAUUUGGAGCCCUUCGGGGCUUCGGACGGCUGGCGUGCCGAUGGUGUGAAAGAAUACGUCGGAGGGCAGGGGCUCGCCCCUGGCGGCGGCUUUGGCUAAUGCAUCGGCCUCCUCGUUCUUGGCCCUGUCAACAUGCUGUAGGGUGAAUCCCUUGAACUGUCUCUCGAGACUUCGGAUAGCCGCGAGGUAUUGCAUGAGCGCGGGGUCUUUUGCUGCAUAGUCUUUCUCGACCUGACCGGCAACUAUCUUGGAGUCUGUUUUGAUGAUACAUGUGGUGACUCCGAGGGCCCUUAGCUUGCGGAGACCGAGGAUGACUGCUUCAUACUCUGCUAUGUUGUUUGUACAUUUGUCAGAUUCCAGAGCAAAGCUGAGGCGCGCUGCGUAUCUGUGCUUGACUCCGGCUGGUGAGGUGACGACUGCAGCGACGCCUGCCCCCGCAUGACACCAUGCACCGUCGCAAUGGAUAGUCCAGACCUUUUCUGUGGAUGGGUCCGGCUGUGUUAUUGGCCCUGUCCAGUCGACGACGAAGUCUGCCAGGACUUGCGACUUGAUAGCUGUCCUGGGCUCGAAGCUGAUGUGGUAGCCGGAGAGUUCGGCUGCCCACUUGGCAAUCCUCACUGAUGCCUCCGGGUUCCUGAAUAAUUCGCCGAGCCCCCUGUCUGAGGUGACUCGGACCUUAAAUGCUUCAAAAUAAUGGCGCAACUUGCGCGAGGACAUAACAACUGCGUAGGCAAUCUUCUCCAGCUCUGUCAUGUUGCAUUUGGACGGUGUCAGGACUUCAGAGACAUAAUAGAUAGGGCACUGUCUGACAGCGCCCUCGACUGUCUGCUCCUGUACCAGUGCCGCGCUGACCGCGUGCGGCGAAGCCGCGACAUAGAGCAAUAAGGGGAGCGAGGAGUCUGGGCUUGUGAGGAUGGCCAGCUCCGCCAGGUACUGUUUUAAUGAGGCGAAGGCUGCUGCUUGCUCCGGUCCCCAGGCGAAGUUCUUCGCGCCGCGGAGUGUUUUGAGGAAUGGAAGACUUCGCUCGGCGGACCUGGAGAUGAAUCUGUUGAGAGCGGCCAUCCUGCCUGUCAGGCGCUGGACGUCCCUGGCCGACUGCGGAGGCGACAUAUCGACGAUGGCCUGGAUCUUGGUUGGGUUGGCCUCGAUGCCCCGGCGGGACACCAGGUAGCCCAAUAUCUUGCCCUGGCGAACACCGAAAACACACUUUUCCGGGUUUAGGCGGAGUCGUGCAUCUCGCAUGUUCGCGAAUGUUUCUGCCAGGUCAGCGAGAUGGUCCUCCUUAUUCUUGCUGGCGACGACGAUGUCGUCCACAUAUGUGAAUAUAUUUCUGCCGACCUGCCCCUCGAGCACUGUUUUGGUGAGUCUGGAGAAGGUGGAUCCGGCAUUCUUGAGACCCUCCGGCAUUCUGACAAAGCAAUAGGUGCCGAAGGGUGUAAUAAAGCUGGUGCUGGCUUUGUCUUCCUCCUUCAUGUAUAUCUGGUGAUAGCCGGAGAAGCAGUCGAGGAGGGACAUGACCUCGCAUCCGGCCGCGCUAUCGACUAUUUUGUCGAUCCGCGGCAACGGGAAAUUGUCCUUUGGGCAGGACUUAUUGAGACUGGUGAAGUCUAUGCACAUGCGCCAUUUUCCGCUUUUUUUCUGCACCAUCACAACAUUGGAGAGCCACGUGGGGUAAGCCACUGGCUCGAUGAAUUUAGCCUCCAGGAGGCGAUGCACCUCUGCCUUGGCGGCCUCUGUCUUUUCGUCUGACAUUUUGCGAAGCUUCUGCUUUUUGGGUCGCACCGAAGGGUCAAUCCCCAAGCUGUGCUCAAUUAUGGCUCGGCUGACUCCGACCAGAUCGAGGGCAGACCAGGCGAAGACAUCUUUAUUCUUGGCCAGGCAGCAGAGAAGUCUCUCUUCUUCAAGUGAGGUGAGGUCUUCGCUGAUAGUUACUGUCUGCUUGGGCGUGGCCUGAUCGAGGGGGACAGUCUUGGUCCCGUCUUGGCACUGCAACUGUGCCUUGUCGUGCUGCUUGUCGGUUGGGCUGGCCGGCGCAGGGACCUCGCGCUGGGUCGUGAGACAGUGUACGUUUCUCUGACCGGGCACGAAGUCCCGCUCAAUGUUGCGCGCCGUCUGCUGGUUGCCGUAGACUGUGAUGGCGCCUAGCGGCCCUGGUAUCUUCAUACAUAGGUACAACCCGUGGAUAGCAGCUUCGAACUUGUUGAUGGAGCCCCGGCCCAUGAUGGCGUUGUAUGGAUAUACCAUGUCGACAAUGUCGAAGGUUACUUGCUCACUUCGGGCAUUGGGCGCUACACCGAAGGAAAGGGGCAACUCUAUCUUGCCAACUGGAAAGGUGCCCUUGCCGCCGAAACCAUACAACGGGUUGUCCGAAGGCUUCAGCAAGCUGUGGCUUAUACCCAUGCGGUCGAAGGCGUGGAGGAAGAUGAUGUCCGCCUGACUGCCGUUGUCGACUAGGACUUUGUGUAAGUCCCAGCCUGCCACGCUGCAAUUGAUGACCAUAGCGUCGAUGUGGGGGGCGCUGCGCAGGUCGACGUCUCGUGCGUCGAAGGUUAGCGGUAUGUGGGACCACUUCGUCUGCACGACUGGGCCAGUGACGGCGACAUGGUUGAUGCUGCGGUAGUGGUCCCGCUUCUACCGCUUGGUGUCGAAGUCAGUGCUAGACCCCCCUGUUAUCAUGUGAAUGACUCCGCGAUAUGGUUGAUCGGCGAAGUCUUCCUGCUUUGGGGCAUGGGGGAUGUUUUGGUGUUGCUGGUGUGGUGGUGGGGGUGGAGGAGGUACGAUUUGUACUUCCUGAUGAUGUUGGUAAGCGUGGUGCGGUGGGUGCGGAGCGGGAGCGUGGAUAUAUGGUGGAGGGGGUGGCUGGUAAUUAUGCGCGACAAUUCUGGGAUUGUCGGCCGGCUGCGCCCGCGCCAUUCUGUCUCUGGUGGCCUUCGUCUCGGGGCAGUCUUUGGUCUGGUGGGCGCAGUCUUCGCCGUGGAAAAGGCAAUAGAAUCGGCGCGGCGGCUGCUGCGCCCGCCCUCGACCCCUGCCGCGAGUUCCAUUUCCGCGGCCCUGGGGGGGAUAUUCCUGGCGGCGAGGGGGAUCAGCAGCAGGCUGUUGGUUGACGAUGUUGUGCACUUGCUGCUGACUGCGGCCAUCUCGACCGGAGUCUGGCUGCGGAGUCCUUGUCCACGUGCGGCUGGACUGCGGGGCAUCUUUGGGUUUCCGUUGUGACUCGACCUUGCGCUGGUGGAGCUCUUCGGAUUUGGCAUAUUUUUCGAAGAGCUGAUAUAGCUCCUGCAAGCUCUUGGGUGGAUCUCUGAUACAAUGGCUGUAGAGGACGCCGGCCCGAAGGCCAUUGAUGGCGUAGUGGAUAGCGAUCUGAUCGUCGACAGAGGGCAGCUGCGACUUGAGCGUUAAGAACUUGCGGUAAUACUCCCGCAGAGUCUCCUUUUCCAGCUGUUUGCAAAGCGAGAGCUCGGCCAAAGCGUCGGUGUCUGGACGGUACCCUUGGAAGUUGAGGAGGAACUUGUCCCUGAGACUUCUCCACGAAUCAAUGGACAGCGGAGGCAAUCUGGUGAACCAAGUGAGUGCUGGGCCCUCUAGUGCGAUGAUGAAAGACUUCGCCAUUGUGGCGUCGUCUCCUCCGGCUGAUGCAACGGCGACUUGAUAACUCAUGAUGUAUUGCGCCGGGUCGGUGCUGCCGUUGUACUUGGGGUACGCCCCCGCUCGAAAGUUAGCUGGCCAAGGCGUCACUUGUAGGUGUGGCGCCAGGGGACUUCGCUCGUCGAGGUAGUUGACCCCUUGGAAUGGCGCGCCGUGCUGGGAGACGUAGUCAUGCUGGGGGAAACGCGGGUUCUCCGGCUGCGCCCGGUGCUGCAGGGGUGGGCCAUGCUGCCGGCCGAGGUGGCCUUCGCGCGUGUCCUCCGGUUGUGUGCGCUGUUGGAGGGGUGGCUCUUGCUGUAGACCGAGGUGGCCCUCGCGCUGCAUCAGCGCGAUUUCGCGCUCGAGGUCUUGGGCUUUCUGUUCCUCGUCGCGUAUCAUUUGCCGCACUUUGGCUAAUGCGGACACACGCUGGCGCUUGGCCUCCAGUAUCUCUUUCUGCCUCUGGAGAUUGCGGUUCCUGAGGCGCAGGGCGCGCAGCUGCAGCUGUUCUUCUGUUGAGACGCCGAGGACCUCACCGUCCUCGGUGAGGUCCGCGCCUUCCAGUGGGGCGAAGCCUGGGGGCGGCUGCGACUGUCCUUCGGUUCCGCAGGUGCGGAAGGUGUCGUCUUCGCCGGUGUGGGGAACAUUGUCUUCAGUGGGCUCUUGGUGGGUGGAUUGGGUGAGGACGAGGGCCUUGCCCUUUCUUGCGGCCAGCAGUGCUGCCUUCGCAGCCUCGUCAGCCUUGGGGUUAGCUCUCUUGGGUGCCAUCGCGGGUGGUUUUGUCGUAGCACGAACGGUGGGCGCCAAAUGUUGGAACUUGCUCUCUGUCGCAAGAAGGCCAACAAGGGUGAACAGUGGUGACAACAGGGUUACGUGCACGGGGGCAAUAGCUCUGUUAAUCUAGCCUCUCACGGGCACUGUGCGGGGGUAUUUAUAGGUGUCUGAGUGCCCAGCGUCUUGUGUUAAGGACGCAUGUGCCCUCAGACACCUAUUUUAUCCCCAGAAUAUUCCCAUAAAGCAGGGUUACAAACUGUAAUUACAAGUAUUCCUUUACAAGUUAGGCCCGUAAUACAGAGGCGGCCACGCGGGGCCCGUUACAAUGGGCCAGAUCGCACGUGGGCCUUGGGACUGAACGAGGACGCGCCGUGGGAGGACGUCGCCGCAGGCCUUCGUUAAAGUGCCGAGUCCUGCGAAGGGUGUCCCUGCCCGCUUUGUCUCUGUCGGACCAGCGGCUGCAGCGAAGGCCUCGAGCGAAGGGUGGCGUCUUGCCUUCGCCCCAACACCAGUUUUUUGAAUUUGCUGUUUACAAACAGACUUUAAUUUAGAUUAUUUAGCACGUGAAUCGGAAGAAAAAAUAUAUGCAUUGAAGAGAAGUUUGUGGCACAACGACGGGAAUAAGUUAGACGGAGUUAGGCCUUGUUUGGGAUAACUUAACUUUAAAAUUUUCAGAUUUAUUUUAAUUUCUUUUACUAAACAAAUCUAGUUUCAUGAGCUCUAGCUAAAAAAACUAGAACUACAGGCCAGUUUCAUAAAAUUUUCGAAGCUUCUCAAGGAUACUUCAAAAACAUUGUUUUUAUAUCUUCUCAUAGAGUUGCACAAAAAUUAUCCACCAUACUAUUUGUUACAUGACCUACUAAUUCAUGUAUCUUUCUCUACUCCUAAACAUCAAAGGUAAUCAAAGAAACUUGUACAAAUUAAUUGUAUUACAGUAGUUGAAAUCUAUGUGCAAGCUAAAUACUCUUUAACCUUACCUUACCAAUUUGUAAGCUAUUUUAUGGUGAACUAAAAAAUCAAAGCUGUAAUUCUCAGACGGGCCUAGAUAAAAAAGUAUAAUGAUUUUUAUAAAAGGUGCGGUGGCGGAAACUAGAAAAAACAGGAGUAAGAAGAGUAGAGCACAUAAGAGAUUAGAACAUCUCUAAAAAACUCUUUAUUUUGCUCUCUAUUUAACUAUUUAUUUACUUUUUUAUAGAUUACACUAUAUAUAUUACAUCACACUCAAAAGACUAUCUAUCUAGUUUAGAUAGUCAGAUGGCUAGUUAAAUUUAACUAGUGAGAAAAUCAAUUUAGAGAAUCAGAUAGUUUGGUGAGUCAGAUAGCUAGUUUGUUGAAGAUUUAUUUUACUAUUGAGAAUCUAAAAUUUAGUUUGACGAGUUAUUUAGCUACAGUGUUUUAGAGAUGCUAGUGGACGUAACCGUAAUCUUCACCCUGCGCCCCUCUCUUGUUCUCCGUUUCCCCGCGGCGUACUCUUCCUGCUCUUCCUCCCCCUCUGUUUAUCUCUCUCUCGGUCCUCCCGUGUCCAUCGCGUGCGCUCUGUCUCCGGUGGCGCCGCCUCCGCCACCCUGCACCAGGUAGCCAUACCUUCGCCGGAGACGAGCGCCCACCAGGUGCGCCCAUCCCUUCUCUUCAGUUUCCUGCUGUGCGAAACGGAGCACCCAAACCCAAGCUAUAUGGAUCUUAUCUGAUCCAGUUACAAGUGUAGUAAUAGUAUGGGAUAUACAUGUAUUAUGCACACAAACUUUUUUUUUCUUUUUUCUUUUAAAUUGGGUGUACAUGUGUACAUGUACAUCCAUGUCCUUUACUGGCUCCGCCCUCUAUCAAGAUUGUCUCGUCAAUUUUGUUGCUUAGAUUAGAUUGCCAUUGCUUCUAAGACCUUCUCUGGCUAGAAUUAGAUUGUUGACAGUGAGUCGAUAUGUCAUUGAUGUAUGCUUACCUGAUAGCUGUGGUGUACUGGUAAUUUAAUCAUAUCAGUUUGGUUCGUAAGUGUGAAUAUUGCUCCGUCUUCAGUGUUUACCCCUUGAUGAAUCAGUGUAUGAAUCCUCGUUUCUGUCUCAUACUGGCAAUUCUUUUGUGUUGGACCUUGCUAUGUAAUCAAGUGUUGUUUGUCUGAUGUGUAUGUAGUAGCAUCAUCUUGCUGUUACCUUGGUUGCUGAAAUUGUUUCAUGGAAAAUGACAGAUCAGAUUCGUGGAUAUGUCUGAUAAUGAGAAAUUGGUGGGGGAGGGAACCACCCGCCGAGGGGCGGACUGGGAAGUUGUCACUCUCACAGCAUCUGCCUAUGAAGCAGCGCCAGGGCCUGUUGGAACGGAAGUAAAGCCUGUUAACGAAGAUCAAGAGCGUAGUUCAUCCGAUGCACUGCUCAUGUCUGACCACUUUGUGUUUCCGCCGAGUGAACACGAGAACCUGCCAAUACAAACCAGUUUUGAUGAGAUACAUGCUGAGAAGGAUGUGCAGAAACCUAGUACCAGUGUGGAGGAUUAUAGUAUCAAGAAUGAUGUUGGGUCUGAGAGAGUUCAGUUUGACGAUGAAGGGAAACACCUCUCAGAUGAUGAUGUGGAGAUGAAAGAUGACACCCCUGGGUACGGUUCCUCUCACGCUGAAGAUGAUGCACAUGGUUUUGUUGCCCAUGGUGAUGGCAUUGAGUCUGGUGAAGAUUUUGAUGAAAAAUCAGGC